rnacentral:rRNA from 1 species
GCAGCCGCGGUAAUACGUAGGUGGCAAGCGUUGUCCGGAUUUACUGGGUGUAAAGGGUGCGCAGGCGGGACUGCAAGUUGGAUGUGAAAUACCGAGGCUCAACCUCGGGGCUGCAUCCAAAACUGUAGUUCUUGAGUGGAGUAGAGGCAAGCGGAAUUCCGAGUGUAGCGGUGAAAUGCGUAGAUAUUCGGAGGAACACCAGUGGCGAAGGCGGCUUGCUGGGCUCUAACUGACGCUGAGGCACGAAAGCAUGGGGAGCAAACAGGAUUAGAUACCCC